rnacentral:rRNA from 1 species
UACGAAGGGUGCAAACGUUGCUCGGAAUAUUGGGCGUAAAGCGCACGUAGGCGGCUUGGCAAGUCGGAUGUGAAAUCCCUCGGCUCAACCAAAGGAAGUGCAUCCGAAACUGCUGAGCUUGAGUACUUAAGAGGAUCGCGGAAUUCCCCGGUGUAGAGGUGAAAAUUCGUAGAUAUCGGGAGGAAUACCAAAGGCGAAGGCAGUUGUCCUGGCUGGCAUCUGACGCUGAGGCGCGAAAGCUAGGGGGAGCGAACAGG